GAGUUUGAUCAUGGCUCAGGACGAACGCUGGCGGCGUGCCUAACACAUGCAAGCCGAAGGAAAGUAGCAAUAUGAGUACUUGGCGCAAGGGUGCGUAAUGCAUAGGUAAUCUGCCUUUUGGAUGAGAAUAACUCAGCGAAAGUUGAGAUAAUACUCAAUGAUGCAGCGGCUCCGCAUGGAGACAGUUGUUAAAGAUUUAUCGCCAAAAGAUGAGCCUAUGUUCUAUCAGAUAGUUGGUGGGGUAACGGCCUACCAAGUCUACGACAGAUAGCUGGUCUGAGAGGACGAUCAGCCACAUGGGAACUGAGACACGGUCCCAACUUCUACGGAAGGCAGCAGUGAGGAAUAUUGCUCAAUGGGUGAAAGCCUGAAGCAGCAACGCCGCGUGGGCGACGAAGGUCUUCGGAUUGUAAAGCCCUUUUGCAGGGGACGAAUAUCCUGUUCUACGGGACUGACGGUACUCUGCGAAUAAGCCACGGCUAACUCUGUGCCAGCAGCCGCGGUGAUAC
rnacentral:rRNA from 1 species